UUCUUCUGAAAUCCCUCAUCUCACUUUUCGAGUUGUACAUCUCAAAUCUGUUGGAACAGAUUCAACCUGAUUAUUUCUCCAUCCAUCCCAUAAUUGAAACUACAAAUAUCGUGUAUUAAAUUAGGUGUCAUAUGUGAUUCGAAUCCAAGGGUUUUCGUGAUUAGGUAUGAGACAUGAUUUGAAGCAAGGGUGUUUGUUCCACCGGUCAAGUUUUUCGUGUAUUCUUCAUUAAAAGGAAAUCGAGCUCUCAGAUCUAUAAAUCAGCACCACGAACGCUUCGAUCACUUACCUCUUCAUCUAAAUGCUCAUCUCUUUCGAAUGAAGGCAAUAGAGGAGUCAAAUUGGUGGCGGAUUCUGGUAUUAUUGUUGAUGUUGCUCAUAAGGUUUUGAGGCGCUAAUAGGAGCGGUUGGUGGAGUUGACAGUGGUACUGUAACAGCAAGACCGAUGAAAUCAGGGUGGAGGUGCGAACUAUGAAGAAGUUCUUGAAUUGGUACUUGUAGAGGAAAAUGUCUCAUACUGAAACCCAUCAAAUGCACCGAUGUUGUGGAUAUAAAGAGAAAAUUGAGAAGAUGGGAACUGUCUGUUUCUUUCCACUAUCAAAUCUUGGGUGGUAUUCCUGCUCCUUCAAACUUUGGAGACGAUUGGAAACGCCGUACUCAGGGGUGUACCCUUUGUUUAUCUUGUGCUUCCCAUGGGAUUUAUCUUGGGUUUUGCUUGCUGACAGAUGUUGGGUGGUAUUCCUGCUCCUUCAAACUUUGGAGAAGAUUGGAAACGUCGUGCUCAGGGGUGUGUUGUACUUUACAAACACCAGUUACAUUAGUUACAUUCUAGCAGUUUAGAAGCGGAAAACAAGUGUAUGAAACUCUUUUUUGGUUUCUUUAUACUUGUGUGUUUGGGGGAGGCUACAAAUGUCUGUUUUCUUCCAGAAUGCGUAUGUUAUAUAUUUCGCCACAUGGCAAAAGAGCUGACUGCGAUGUUGGACCAUGGCGAGGCGCAGCCAGCUGUUAGCUGUACCGGUGAUAAUGGUUCCGUGUCUUACCUUGAACAACUCAUCUCUACCAUUUAUGAGACAAUGGUUAGGGAAACUUCUAUACUCAACAAUAGGAAAACUGUCCACUCAGAUUGGAGGAAUUAGGACGACUUCAAUGAGUAUUUCUGGUCACCUACUUGCUUUGAGCUAAAUUGGCCACUGAAGAAGGAUCGUUCAUUUCUGUCGCACCCUAAAGGGUGGAAAAGGGUAAAAGAAACCCAUUUCUAUGUAAUCUCCUUGUCUUGUAAUUAUUUCUGGGUGCUCAGUUUUUUUCUUGAAUUCUCGCUAACACUAAAAGUAGUUUGGAGCACUGGACAUUUCUUCACCUUUACCGAAGUUUUCAUCGAUUACAGGCAUGGUUGGUCCUGAUGUUUCAGGUUUGACAUAUCAAUUGAUAGAUAGUUGAUCGAAAGUUCCAUAUUUACUAUUCAAUGGUUUGGAAAUAGAUGCGUGCUUGUUUCCAUAUCGACAGAGUCUGACAAUUAUAGCUUUCAAUGACGGAAUGGACCACGAUACUUUCAAAGAAGUACUCAGUAAUGGACCAACAUUUGCUGUCAUGUGCUGUCGUGUGCUUUAAUUCUUCUUUAUUUUGGCUAUUACAUAGUUUUGUUUCUGAAUGUAACUUGCUUUUCUGGGUAUGUCAUUGAUAAUAGGUGGGGAUUGAGAAACAUAGAUAAUGGACUAGCAUUGCUCCGACUCAGAUAAUCACAAGAACCUAUCUGAGCAUCAUUCCUUGUUACCAUUUAGUUGUUAUUAGUUUCUCUAAGUCUCGUUGCAAAUCGUAUAAAGUUCUAAGGUUAUAGAUCGGCAUUCAGGAUUUAAACUCGGGUCAGCGAAAAUACAUCAGAAGCAGAAGUGAAGAAGUAGGAUGCCGUAAAGUUAACUUCUAAAGUUCAAGGACUAAUUGUGCUGAAAACAACCCAGGGGUUACUUGUUGAAGAUGGAUUCGAUUAUAUGAAAGUGGCAUUUGUAAGGGAUAUCAAAGCUCAACAAAGAAGUUUGAGAGAUGGGGACUGAGAAACCCAGAUAAUGGACAGGCUCCGCUCGGACUCAGGUUUUAAACUUGGGUUUGCAAAACAUACAGCAGAAGCAAUAGUGAUCUCCAAGGAAGCAUUGGUAUUUGGUUUUGGAAUCUCCAAUAAUAUCAGACCCCAACAAGAAUGCUUAUAGAUCCAUUUGUCUUCACUGGAACCACGAAUGAAGCUCCUUCAAUUUCGACAACUGUUGGAUAUGAUGAGUAUCGGGAUGGAGAUAUUCGGUAAUAAUGCUGGUUUUAACACAUGUUUAGUGGCUUUUCUUGUAAGAUUACAUUGGUCAGAACUCCAGAUUUCAAUCUUUUUUGUGUAACUUGAAACCAAUGAAUCAUUGAAUGUUAAAUUGAAUGAUUAUUUGUGUGCAAGUUUAAUUUGAUUCUCAUUUUCAUUUGAUUUGAA